rnacentral:sRNA from 1 species
GCUGUCUCAUUGUUUUUAGCAGCAACUAGUUUUAGAGCAUCGGAUGAUGUUAAUGGAUUUGUUGGUCGAGUAUCACGGUCGAGUAUGGGCUCGAGUACCUCAGUUGGUUUGUCAACUUGAUCUUUAUUGAGACUGAAAUCCUCCCCAUCUUGGUAUGCACUGUCCUCAAUGACUAACUUGGGUCUCUCUCUAGUGGAUAACUCUCUUCCACUCCUUAUGGUGAUAGCAUGAACAUUAGCAUACUCCUUGGGAUUCUGAAUUGACUUCCC